rnacentral:rRNA from 2 species
GCCUGGUGCUUGCACCGGGUGGAUGAGUGGCGAACGGGUGAGUAAUACGUGAGUGACCUGCCUUUGACUCUGGGAUAAGCCUGGGAAACUGGGUCUAAUACCGGAUGCGACUACUGCCCGCAUGGGCUGGUGGUGGAAAGGGUUAUGUACUGGUCUUAGAUGGGCUCACGGCCUAUCAGCUGGUUGGUGGGGUAAUGGCCUACCAAGGCGACGACGGGUAGCCGGCCUGAGAGGGUGACCGGUCACACUGGGACUGAGACACGGCCCAGACUCCUACGGGAGGCAGCAGUGGGGAAUAUUGCACAAUGGGCGCAAGCCUGAUGCAGCGACGCCGCGUGAGGGAUGACGGCCUUCGGGUUGUAAACCUCUUUCAGCAGGGAAGAAGCGGAAGUGACGGUACCUGCAGAAGAAGCGCCGGCUAACUACGUGCCAGCAGCCGCGGUAAUACGUAGGGCGCAAGCGUUGUCCGGAAUUAUUGGGCGUAAAGAGCUCGUAGGCGGCUUGUCGCGUCUGCUGUGAAAGCCCGGGGCUUAACUCCGGGUGUGCAGUGGGUACGGGCAGGCUAGAGUGCAGUAGGGGUAACUGGAAUUCCUGGUGUAGCGGUGAAAUGCGCAGAUAUCA